GAUGGGAUCUGAGCUGCUGCGUUUCUAACAAAUGCACAUUUCUAAAAACACUUUAAGGACCGCUGCUUUAUUUGAUUCUCCGUUCCAAAGAAGAAGGUAGACCAGGUGGAAGACGAGACCCUGAGCGAGUUCCGCAGGGGCAGAGCCAGGGAGCCUCGCUACGCAGCACGAACAGCUCCGAGAGGCACAAAACGCGGCAGGAAGCGAAAGAGGUAACGCCGGUGCCCGGGCUGCGUCCGCACGAACCGAAGUACUUACCCGCCGCGCCCCGGGCCCCGCACCCGCCGCGACGGAGCCAUCCGAGUCCAAGGCUCAGCGGGUAAAUGGAGCCAGAAAAA